UACGUAGGGACCAAGCGUUGUUCGGAUUUACUGGGCGUAAAGGGCGCGUAGGCGGCAUGACAAGUCACUUGUGAAAUCUCCGGGCUUAACUCGGAACGGUCAAGUGAUACUGUCGCGCUAGAGUGCGGAAGGGGCAAUCAGAAUUCUUGGUGUAGCGGUGAAAUGCGUAGAUAUCAAGAGGAAUACCUGAGGUGAAGACGGGUUGCUAGGCCGACACUGACGCUGAAGCGCGAAAGCCAGGGGAGCAAAUGGG
rnacentral:rRNA from 1 species